rnacentral:rRNA from 1 species
UUGACGGGAGCCCGCACAAGCAGCGGAGCGUGUGGUUUAAUUCGAUGCGACACGAAGAACCUUACCUGGGUUUGACAUGUAUGUAGUAGGGAAGCGAAAGCGGACCGACCCGCAAGGGAGCAUACACAGGUGCUGCAUGGCUGUCGUCAGCUCGUGCCGUGAGGUGUUGGGUUAAGUCCUCUAACGAGCGCAACCCUCGUUGCUAGUUAAAGAUUUCUAGCGAGACUGCCGGGAUAUAACCGGAGGAAGGUGGGGAUGACGUCAAGUCAGCAUGGCCUUUAUAUCCAGGGCUACACACACGCUACAAUGGUCGGUACAGAGGGAAGCCAAGCCGCGAGGCGGAGCUAAUCUCACAAAGCCGAUCUCAGUUCAGAUUGCAGGCUGCAACCCGCCUGCAUGAAGGUGGAAUCGCUAGUAAUCGCGCAUCAGCAUGGCGCGGUGAAUACGUUCCCGGGCCUU